rnacentral:misc_RNA from 1 species
UACGGAGGGUGCGAGCGUUAAUCGGAAUUACUGGGCGUAAAGCGCGCGUAGGUGGCUUGAUAAGCCGCUUGUGACAGCCCCGGGCUCAACCUGGGAACGGCAUCCGGAACUGUCAAGCUAGAGGGCAGGAGAGGCAGGUAGAAUUCCCGGUGUAGAGGUGAAAUGCGUAGAGAUCGGGAGGAAUACCAGUGGAGAAGGCGGCCUUCUGGACUGAUACUGACACUGAGGUGCGAAAGCGUGGGUAGCAAACAGG